AACACAUCUGCCAGACGUUGUGCUGC
rnacentral:sRNA from 1 species